rnacentral:rRNA from 1 species
UACGUAGGGGGCAAGCGUUGUCCGGAAUUAUUGGGCGUAAAGGGCACGCAGGCGGUUCUCUAAGUCUGAUGUGAAAUCUCGCGGCUCAACCGCGAGCGGUCAUUGGAAACUGGAGAACUGGAGUGCAGGAGAGGAGAGCGGAAUUCCACGUGUAGCGGUGAAAUGCGUAGAGAUGUGGAGGAACACCAGUGGCGAAGGCGGCUCUCUGGCCUGAAACUGACGCUGAGGUGCGAAAGCGUGGGGAGCGAACAGG